UGAAAUAGAAUCUAGAUUUUAUUAUUCCGAUAAUAAAAUCGGAAUGAAGCAUUCCCACUAUUAUGAAUGGUACUAAAAUAGAAUCGGUUAACUUAGGGUGGGUUUGGAUGGGCGAUUGGGUGUGGUGCGUUUAGCUUACUUUUUGUCUCACGCUACAGUGUCGCUAUAAUAUCUAAUCUCACCGCCACUACUGUUUUUACACUAACCGUAAGUAAACGCACUGCUCAUCCAAACUCACCCUUAAGCUGGAUAAAU
rnacentral:lncRNA from 1 species